CAGGGCGCCGACUGUGCGAAGCCUGAUACAGCAAUGCCGCGUGAGUGAUGAAGGCCUUCGGGUUGUAAAGCUCUUUUAACUACGAUGAAAAUCACUGAACGUGGAUCAAUUGGCCCGGAAGUCUUCUGCCAACAACCCCGGGAAUACUCCAUGG
rnacentral:rRNA from 1 species